rnacentral:rRNA from 1 species
GUGACAGCGGAGGGAUCAUUACCGAGUUUACAACUCCCAAACCCCUGUGAACAUACCUUAAUGUUGCCUCGGCGGAUCAGCCCGCGCCCCGUAAAACGGGACGGCCCGCCAGAGGACCCAAACUCUAAUGUUUCUUAUUGUAACUUCUGAGUAAAACAAACAAAUAAAUCAAAACUUUCAACAACGGAUCUCUUGGUUCUGGCAUCGAUGAAGAACGCAGCAAAAUGCGAUAAGUAAUGUGAAUUGCAGAAUUCAGUGAAUCAUCGAAUCUUUGAACGCACAUUGCGCCCGCUGGUAUUCCGGCGGGCAUGCCUGUUCGAGCGUCAUUUCAACCCUCAAGCCCCCGGGUUUGGUGUUGGGGAUCGGCUCUGCCCUUCUGGGCGGUGCCGCCCCCGAAAUACAUUGGCGGUCUCGCUGCAGCCUCCAUUGCGUAGUAGCUAACACCUCGCAACUGGAACGCGGCGCGGCCAUGCCGUAAAACCCCAACUUCUGAAUGUUGACCUCGGAUCAGGUAGGAAUACCCGCUGAACUUAAGCAUAUCAAUA